rnacentral:misc_RNA from 1 species
CCGCCGGUAAAACGAAGGAAGCAAGAAAUGCUGAAAUAGCCGCAGAUCCCCGCCGGCGAAAAACCAACGAACACCAGGCGGAUAUGGAUAUCCCGCAGAAAUGCUGAAAGGCCUAGGACAUACGAAGGGAAGGACCAAACAGUACGACGCAGUAUGCAGCCCCCGCAAGGCCUGCUAGUCCACGCUACAAAGAGGGUGAGAGAGGGAGAGAGAGAGAUAGAGCAAAGGGCGGGGCGACUAUUAGCUAGUACUAGUAGGGAGGAAUUAAGGCCAAACGACGACGACGCACGGCGGCAUGGCGGCCGGCCACCACGGGCAGCCGCCGGACGGGGAGGACGGGCGGCGGGCGGUCGUCGGCGGGGAGCAGGACCGGCUGCUGCCCAUCGCCAACGUCGGCCGCAUCAUGAAGCAGAUCCUGCCGCCCAACGCCAAGAUCUCCAAGGAGGCCAAGGAGACGAUGCAGGAGUGCGUGUCCGAGUUCAUCGGCUUCGUCACCGGCGAGGCCUCCGACAAGUGCCACAAGGAGAAGCGCAAGACCGUCAACGGCGACGACCUCUGCUGGGCCUUCGGCGCCCUGGGCUUCGACGACUACGUCGACCCCAUGCGCGGCUACCUCCACAAGUACCGGGAGGUCGAGGGGGACCGCGCCGCCGCAGCCGCGUCCUCCUCCCGCGGCGGCGGAGACCACCACCCCGCGUCCGCGUCCACGUCCACCUCGCCCGCCGCCGCCGCCGCACCCGGUCAUUUCAUGUUCGGCGCCGCAGCCAUCGACCGCCCCGACAACAACACCUCAUCCGCCAGGCCCUUUUGAUCCAACUUCUACUUCGCCAGCUGCUCUUUAAUUUGCUUGUUAUUCGUCAGAUCAACAACAAAAGCUACGCGCUUAUCUUAUUAAUUUUUACUACUGCUCAUUUUUUGAGAGGUGAAUCGUCAUAUCAAAUCCAAAUUACAAGCUAUCUCUAUCUAUCUAUCUAUGUUCCACAGUUCCACA